rnacentral:rRNA from 1 species
GAGUUUGAUCGUGGCUCAGGAUGAACGCUGGCGGCGUGCUUAACACAUGCAAGUCGAACGGAGAGCUAAUGACAGAGGAUUCGUCCAAUGGAAUUAGUUUCUUAGUGGCGGACGGGUGAGUAACGCGUGAGGAACCUGCCUCGGAGUGGGGAAUAACACAGUGAAAAUUGUGCUAAUACCGCAUGAUGCAGUUGAGUCGCAUGGCUCUGACUGCCAAAGAUUUAUCGCUCUGAGAUGGCCUCGCGUCUGAUUAGCUAGUUGGCGGGGUAACGGCCCACCAAGGCGACGAUCAGUAGCCGGACUGAGAGGUUGGCCGGCCACAUUGGGGACUGAGACACGGCCCAGACUCCUACGGGAGGCAGCAGUGGGAAUAUUGGGCAAUGGGCGCAAGCCUGACCCAGCAACGCCGCGUGAAGGAAGAAGGCCCUCGGGUUGUAAACUUCUUUUGUCAGGGACGAAGCAAGUGACGGUACCUGACGAAUAAGCCACGGCUAACUACGUGCCAGCC